rnacentral:lncRNA from 1 species
CCUUCACUUUCCACUCUGUUUCAAGGAUUUAGCCACGGCCAGUUAAGGAUUAGCCACGGAUUUUGGCCGUGGCCCUUCACUUUCCACUUUGUUUCAAGGAUUUAGCCACGGCCAAUUAAGGAUUAGCCACGGAUUUUGGCCGUGGCCCUUCACUUUCCACUCUGUUUCAAGGAUUUAGCCACGGCCAAUUAAGGAUUAGCCACGGAUUUUGGCCGUGGCCCUUCACUUUCCACUCUGUUUCAAGGAUUUAGCCACGGCCAGUUAAGGAUUAGCCACGGAUUUUGGCCGUGGCCCUUCACUUUCCACUCUGUUUCAAGGAUUUAGCCA